GAUCAUGGCUCAGGAUGAACGCUGGCGGUAUGCCUAACACAUGCAAGUCGUACGAGAGUUUUUAACUCUAGUGGCGGACGGGUGAGUAACACGUGAGAAUUUACCUUUAGAGGGGGAUAACAAUUGGAAACGAAUGCUAAUACCCCAUAUGCUUUUGAGUGAAAUGGAUUUAUAAUUAUCCGCCUAGAGAGAAGCUCGCGGCUGAUUAGCUUGUUGGUAAGGUAAGAGCUUACCAAGGCGACGAUCAGUAUCUGGUUUGAGAGGACGAUCAGACACACUGGAACUGAGACACGGUCCAGACUCCUACGGGAGGCAGCAGUGGGGAAUUUUCCGCAAUGGGCGAAAGCCUGACGGAGCAAUACCGCGUGAGGGAAGAAUGCCUAUGGGUUGUAAACCUCUUUUUUCAGGGAGGAAUCAAAUGACGUGUACCUGAAGAAUAAGCAUCGGCUAACUCCGUG
rnacentral:rRNA from 1 species